AUGGCUCAGGAUGAACGCUAGCGGCAGGCUUAACACAUGCAAGUCGAGGGGCAUCGGGAGUAGCAAUACGUUGCCGGCGACCGGCGCAAGGGUGCGUAACGCGUGAGCAACAUGCCCGUAUCAGGGGGAUAAUCCAUGGAAACGUGGUCUAAUACCCCAUAGUAAUUAUGUAAGGCAUCUUAUAUAAUUUAAAGCUUUGGUGGAUACGGAUUGGCUCGCGUGACAUUAGCUGGAUGGUAAGGUAACGGCUUACCAUGGCUACGAUGUCUAGGGGUUCUGAGAGGAAGGUCCCCCCACACUGGAACUGAGACACGGUCCAGACUCCUACGGGAGGCAGCAGUGAGGAAUAUUGGACAAUGGAUGGAAAUCUGAUCCAGCCAUGCCGCGUGCAGGAAAGACGGCCCUAUGGGUUGUAAACUGCUUUUGUAUGGGAGCAAUAAGGGCUACGUGUAGUCCGAUGAGAGUACCAUACGAAUAAGCACCGGCUAACUCCGUGCCAGCAGCUGC
rnacentral:rRNA from 1 species